rnacentral:lncRNA from 1 species
AAAAGAAUACUCUUCUAUCAACAAAAGUUUUUCUUAUCCUAGUUUAUAAAUCACAACCCCAAAUCUACAAUUUUUAUUUACAAAAAUGAAAACUUUCCUAAAUUAGAAUUUUUGAGAAUUUUAUUUUUAAAAUACAACCUAUUGAUAAAAAAAUCUAAAAGAAUACUCUUCUAUCAACAAAAGUUUUUCUUAUCCUAGUUUAUAAAUCACAAUCCCAAAUCUACAAUAUUUAUCUACAAAAAUGAAAUCUUUCCUAAAAUAGAAUUUUUUAUUUUUAAAAUACAACCUAUUGAUAAAAAAAUAUAAAAGAAUACUCUUCUAUC